rnacentral:rRNA from 1 species
GACGAACGCUGGCGGCGUGCUUAACACAUGCAAGUCGAACGAUGACGACCGAGCUUGCUCGGUCUGAUUAGUGGCGAACGGGUGAGUAACACGUGAGCAACCUGCCCUUCACUCUGGGAUAACCUCGGGAAAUCGGGGCUAAUACCGGAUAUGAGCUCCUGUCGCAUGGCGGGUGUUGGAAAGUUUUUCGGUGAAGGAUGGGCUCGCGGCCUAUCAGUUUGUUGGUGAGGUAGUGGCUCACCAAGGCGAUGACGGGUAGCCGGCCUGAGAGGGCGACCGGCCACACUGGGACUGAGACACGGCCCAGACUCCUACGGGAGGCAGCAGUGGGGAAUAUUGCACAAUGGGCGAAAGCCUGAUGCAGCGACGCCGCGUGAGGGAUGACGGCCUCCGGGUUGUAAACCUCUUUCAGCAGGGAAGAAGCGAAAGUGACGGUACCUGCAGAAGAAGCGCCGGCUAACUACGUG